GCGGAGAUGCCGGAGUGGCCAAACGGGACAGGCUUAGGACCUGUUGGCUUAGUGCCUUCGCAGGUUCGAAUCCUGCUCUCCGCA
rnacentral:tRNA from 1 species